rnacentral:rRNA from 1 species
ACGCUCGACACCUACGGAAGGCAGCAGUGAGGAAUAUUGGUCAAUGGGCGCUAGCCUGAACCAGCCAAGUAGCGUGAAGGAUGAAGGCUCUAUGGGUCGUAAACUUCUUUUAUAUAAGAAUAAAGUGCAGUAUGUAUACUGUUUUGUAUGUAUUAUAUGAAUAAGGAUCGGCUAACUCCGUGCCAUCAGCCGCGGUAAUCUGAGCGGGCUGGCAAGGC